rnacentral:rRNA from 1 species
GCUUGUCUCAAAGAUUAAGCCAUGCAUGUCUAAGUAUAAAUAAAUCAUACUGUGAAACUGCGAAUGGCUCAUUAUAUCAGUUAUAGUUUAUUUGAUAGUCCCUUACUACUUGGAUAACCGUAGUAACUCUAGAGCUAAUACAUGCGCAAAUUCCCGACUGCCGCAAGGCGGAAAGGAUGUAUUUAUUAGAUCCAACCAGCCCGGUUCGCCGGAGUCCCUGGUGAGUCAUAAUAACUUUGCGGAUCGCAGACCUCGCGUCGGCGACGAAUCAUUCAAGUUUCUGCCCUAUCAGCUUUGGAUGGUAGGGUAUUGGCCUACCAUGGCUCUAACGGGUAACGGAGAAUUGGGGUUCGAUUCCGGAGAGGGAGCCUGAGAGAUGGCUACCACAUCCAAGGAAGGCAGCAGG